GACUAUUAUGAUGUGGCCUCAGGGUUUCCACUACUCAAAGAGUUAAUCAAAGUACACCACCAAGAAUAAGUCAUUUCAAGAAUUAUCAUCAAUGAACUUGCUUGAACCCAGCCCAGCUGCUGUGUGCAGCUUCAAACAGUUGCUACACUCUCCCUCCCUUGCCUAUCACAACUUUCUGGAAAAUUGUGGAGUAACUGUUACAGCUACAAAGAAAUCUGCCGAAAAGUUGGCACCAAAGCUUUGUCUGAUGUUCAGAGACCUAAGCAACUUUACUGGAUCAAUAAGAAGCACUGAUCCAUUCAGGAAGCCUUUCCUGGACUUCUCCCUUGUGGCAGCUCCAGAGCUUUAACACUCCAGGUGGAGUGGAUCUGGCUCCAGGUAGAGUCUGUCAGUAUUUUCAUCAGAGUAUAUAUCUUUCAUAAACAUGAAAAAGGCAGGUUUAGAAGUACUCAAGAACUCUUAGAAUCAGAUUUCAUUUUAUCACGUUCUUUGCCUAAACCAAUAAAACAAACUUCCCUUAAACUCCUGAUAAUACAUUGGGAAACACUUUUAUUUCUCUGUUGCAAUGCUCUACAAGAAAUUGUAUUAUUUUCUGCUUUUUAAAUACUAUAUGUGUGCCAUUUCCCUUGAAAUAUGUUAAAAAAAAAAAAAAGUAAAGAUGUUUAAAAUGACAGUGAAAUUUCUGUUUCAGGUUAUGUUAAAUAUUUUGUACAGUUCAAGUGUUCAAAAAUGUUUGAUUGGCUGAAUAUUUUUCUUUUUGUCAGAUCAUCCUGUGAUCAUUCCUGUCAGAUCAUUCCUGUGACUGGAAGCAUUAGCAUUCACUUAGCUUUAGUCACUGACUCUUUAAUUUAAAUCUCUACCUGGAAAAAAUUGUUUUCAGCAUAGAGUAACCCCUGGACUCUUCCCACAGUGCCCCUACAUCUCUGACCUGCUAACAAAACUUUGCCAAAUACACCCAUUGCAAUGGGUUUCCCAAAUCAUCCUUUCCUGUUCCUUUAUUUAUUCCAGACUGUCAGGACACUGAACUGAAGACUGGUAGAGCUUGUAAUGAUGUCAGCAACAUAUAGAGAGAGAGAAGAGGGGAGAGAGACAUUCAUCUUAUAUGGCUAAAACUUAAAAGGCAUCUCUCCAGGUCUAAGAAAGUUAUAAGAUGCCCAAAUCAGCUCAUACUGAAAAAUGCUUGCUUACUACUGCCAGUAUCAACUGUGUCAUGCUCUUUAUGCACAAAAACACCUCUGGUAUAUUAAAAGAGAAGAGAUCAGAAAUGUAUUAUUGCUGGAUGGAUAAAAUAUUUAAUGCUUAUAGACAGAUGAGCUAUAGAGAUAGUAAUCUGAUAUGUAUAAAUUCACUGUACAAUUUUAUAUUGGAGUAGCAACAUAAAUGACCCUAUUAAAUCCUUUUAUUUUCCUAAUCCAGUAAGUGUUUAAUCUCAUUGCAAGCAUUGGAAAUAAUUAUUCAUUUAUACACUUGUUUUUGCCACACUCCUUGAUGUCAACAAGGACUGUGCCUUUGAUUAAUCAGUUAAAACAGCUGUUGGAUAAAGUAGUGAAAGAGAAUCAAUAAUGUGCUUUUCUAAGGAAGGAGACUAUUGGUGGAUUUUGUUUGUUCUCAGAUGUUUUUUUUUCUGCAAAGAAAAAUAUAGAUAGAGAAAACCUUUUGUAGAAUAGGCUCUACUCUAGGUGAAUAGUAAAAAUCUUUGUGGUUCUUAAGCUUCCCCAGUCUGAUACCCAACUUGCCUCUAAGUGAUUGCAUUCUUCAGCUGUGGAUAGAUGGAGGGACUCCACUCUUUUUCAGCUUGUUCCAAUUUUGUUUCCCUCCCCAGUGUCUGUCAUACUGAAAUGAGCAAAGAGGGCAAUGUAAAAGCCAGAUACAUUAGUUUUGCUGGUUGACAGCUUCCUUCCAAAAGAGGAAACUAUUAUAAACAAUAGUGUAAGGAGAAUCUUGUUCUUUUGAGCAUCUACAUGAUCUUUAGCAGAUAGACUGAGUCUGUCCUGGUUUCCAAGGACCUUUUGAUAGUCAAAUAUCUCUAAAUUUAUUCAGCUCAAUUCUCUUACACUUUUCCUCACUCCUACUCAAAAACACUUCUUGCCUCUCUAUUGAAGUCAUUCAUGUACAUGCUGGGAUUUAAAUUGUCACCUCAGCAUUGUUGUAGGACAUUGGGAUGGAAGUGAGUGCCACACAGUUCAUCUUUCAACAGCUUGAAGAGAUGGAAUCCAGAAGGCACCAAAUCCAGACUGAGUGGUGAGUGUGAUAGGACAGUCCAGCCAAGACUGGCAAUGAGCUCCACAGUCUCUAAACUGGUAUGGCAUCUGGCAUUAUAAUGUUGGAAGAGAAAGGUUGUGUUAUCCAAGGAAUCAUGGAAUCAUAGGAUGGCUUACCUUGGAAGGGACCUUAAAGAUCAAGCUCCAACCCUCCUGCUACGUACAGGGGUGCCGCCCACCAGAACAAGCUGCCCAGGGCCCUGUCCAACCUGCCUUUGAUCGUCUCCAAGUAUGAGACAUCCACAACUUCUCCUUGCAACUUGUUCCAAUACCUCACCGCUAUUUGCAAAAAGAACAACUUCCUAACAUCUAACCUAAAUUUCCCCUCUUUUAUUUUAAAGCCAUUGCCCCUUGUCCUGUCAUUAUCAAACUUUUUACAAAGUCAGUCCCCUUCCUACAUAUAAGCUCUCCUUGGGUACUUGAGGGCUGGAAUAAGGUCUCCCCAGAGCCUUCUCUAAGCUAAACAAACCUAACUCCCUCAGCCUAGCUUCAUAGGAGAGGUGCUCUAGCCUUGUACUCAUCCUCAUGGGCCUCCUCUGGAUGCACUCCAACAACUCUACAUCUUUCUUGAGCUGUGGAAGCCAGACCUGGACACAGUACUUCCAGUGGAGACUUACAAGGGCGGAGUAUGGACAAUACCCUCCCUCUCCCUGCUGACCACCUCUCUUUUGAUCUAGCUGAGGAUACAGUUGGCCUUCCAGGCCACAAACACACACUGCUGCCUCAUACAGCUUUUCAUCCACCAGAACCCCCAAGUCCUUCUUUUCAGGGCUGCUCUCAAUUAGUUCUCCCAGUCUAUACAUGUAUCUGGGAUUGCCUCAACCCGAGUGCAACACCUUGCACUUGGCCUUGUUGAAUGUUAUUAGGUUCUUGUGAACUCACUUUUCAAACUUUUUCAGGUCCCUCUGGCUGGCAUCCUUUUCUUCUACUGCGUCAGCUGCACCACUCAGCUUGAUGUCAUCAGCAGACUUGCUGAGAGUACACUCCAUUGCAUUAUGUCAUUGAUAAAGAUGUUGAAGAACACCAGUCCUAAGACAAACGCCUGGGGAAACCAUUUGUGACUGGUGUCCACCUAGAUUUAGAGCCACUGACCACAACACUGCCUGCAACCAUCCAACCAACUAUCUAUCCACUUAAUAGUCCAGCCUUCAAAUCUAUAUGUCUCCAAUUUAGAGAUAAGGAUGUGGUGUGGGACCACAUCAAAAGCAACCGAGGCAAAGAUCUUGUUGAGUGCCUCAGUCUUCUUCAUAUCUGUUCUCCCUUCUCCUCUAUCAAAGGGUUCUCUGAUGUCAUGGGCCAACAUAUUAAAACAAGAGGCAUUACUUUCAGAGCAACUCUCGUAGAUGUAACUGUUUCUUGCUAUAUAGACAUGUUAUUCUUUAUCAGAAGAAAAAGAGAAAAAUAUUAUGCUUUUACUGAGACAGUCGUGGUCUGGAACAUAAUGCAAGUAUUAAAGCAUCAAGGCAAGAAAGGAAACAUUUUAAAGGUUAAGGAAUAUCUCAGAGUGAAUAAGCUUGAAGUUAUUUUUAACACAGGUGUUUCUGUAAUGGUGCCGUAUCAUAGGAGGAAACUUCACAGCUCUCCAUGACACUCACACUAUGUGUUACACCUUUGCAGAGUGUUGGCUUAGUAACUUUGGCUGUAACACAAUAGGAUGAGGAACACCUGCAAAAUCUACUCCUGAUGAAGAUAUUUCCCUCUUCACAAUCUGUGCUUUGCACAUAGGUAUUCAUUACUGUAUUUGAGCUUAAAACCUUUCUUAUAAAAGGGAUAAACUAAAUUUGAAACUGUGAGGGGCUCCCUGCCACUUCUCAAAUAGCUCCACUGAAAAUUUUAAGAAUAGAAAAUCAAUAUACUCAUUGAAAAUAACAUGUUCAAAGAUAUGUUCAUUAAGGCAAAAUAGCUGCAGAACUUCCUACAGUGAAUCAGUUCCAUCAUGUCUAACCAAGAUGUAUAAGGAAAGAUUUAAACCUUAUCUAAUAUCUAGAAAUACUACUACCAUCAAUGGCCGCAUUAGAAACCCUAUUGACAGAAAGACACUCAUAGCUGUCAAGCUCAAUAAUGACAGUAGAAUAUGGGUAAUUAUGAGAAAAGCUGAUGAAAAUUUCAAUAAAUGCAAGCAGAAUUUAAGUAAAAAUUAACAGAGUUCUUCUGACUUUGAGUAGGAAAGUGGUUCUUAUGGAUUCUAUAGAGUAUUCCACCACAUUUAAAUAGUGUUUCUAGAAUGAAUGCUGAGCAAAAUGAUAGAUUGUCUUAUUCCUCUGCCUUCUGCCCAUUUUAAUGCAUCAUGAGAAAAGGAAAAAGUCAUGAUUGUGACCCUUCCUAGAAUUUAUAAUUUGUUGUAGAUUUUCUUCCUAUGAAUCAGUAAAAUGGCAAUAUGCAUAAUACAGGCUCCAUCUCCAACAAAAGCUGAUUGCACUGAAACCUGGAGAAAUGCUUUGUUGAGUCGCACAUGCUCUGUGUGCACAAGUAUCUGCUGCCAGAAUGCAACAGAUACUGUUGUUGUCACAGAAGAAUACUGAAGUGACAUUGCAAACUGUUGAAAGAUUUUGCUCAAACCUUAAUAUUUUGAAAUGUUUGAAAAAUGUCUUUGUUUACUCUGUAGCCAUGAGUGAUGUGUUUAGCCAGAAUAAGCAAAUAUAGGACCAGUUUGGGUCCUAUAUAGGCAAAUAUAGGACCAGAUGAAAUAAUGAGAAACUUGAUCUUAGCUUGUCCAGAGUGAGUCCUCUCUCAGUGGUUUAAUUGAGCAUAUUGGACUUUGUGUCAGGCAGUAUUAAAAUGGAAAAUUGUAAAUGUAGUUGAUUAAUUGAUUAAUCUACUGAAUAACACUGACUCAUAUUAAUAAGGUUAAUAUCCUGAGUGUGGCCUCAGAAAACCAAGUCUCUGUUUCCAGCUCUGACUUUCAUCUACUGGAUGACUUUGAAUGUGCAGAAUUGCCCAGUGUUUGGGGUUUUCGUAUAAAAAUGGCAGUAAUAUUUCCUCACCUUUGCAAAACUCCAUGAAAAUCAAUAAUCUGUAGCUGCAGAACAGUCUAAGGUUGGAUCAGCAAUAGUUAUAGAUUUUCACAAGUCUUAAAAGCUGCUUCUGGAUGACAGUAGCAGGAAAGACCAUGAAUAUACCAAGGAAAAAUUGGUGUCACACUUUCCACAUAAUUGGUUUGCAUCAGGCAGAACAUCUGUGAAACACAAAGGUCAAGCAACUUAUUUAAAAACACCCUAUGUGAAUCUAAGAUUAGCCUUGACAUUUUCAAAACCUCAGAAAAUUAGGGGAAGGGCUACAGCCCUGAGGAUUGUGGUCCCUUAGGCUGACUGGAGGAGAGAUUAUAUUAAACAUUUUGAGACCUGAAUGAUCCAUUCUGUAUUAAAGAGGAUUUACAAGAUCCUCAGAGUAUGCUUGAAACAUCUGACUGAGAGAGAGUCUGUGGACUUUCUGCGUUCUUGGUAGGGAUUCUCAAGGGCACUAUUAAAGAAUCAACUGUGGUGAUUGAUGGAAAAAUAAAGAAAUUGAAGAAGAAAUGAAGACAAACUAUAAUGUGGACUUUUUCCUGCAGUCCCAUGAUAUCUUCAACAUUAAGUGAUUUUGGCAGAUAAUUUCUACUAUGAAGCAUGUGGAUAGCCAGAAGGCUAUUAAGAGAGAAUGAUACUAUAAUAUAAGCAUGGAGGAUUCUUAUAAAGUGUAUCUUUCUCUCAUUCAAAGUACAUGAUGAAAAAUGAUGUGUCCGGAGUGCUAACAAAUUAUAACAAAGUAUGAACUCUCCCUAUAUAUAUAUAAUACUAAACCAUCUUUAUUAUCAUAAGCCACUAUUCUACCCAUACCCCCCUGCUAUUUAUUUCCUAUUUAUAAAAAUAAUUUCAACUAUAUCUUUUAGCUAAUCAUGGCUAGCUCCAUAUGCAGCCUGAUAAUAUGCCUGGGGUGAUAAUAUGUCUGGACAGUUAGACCAGUGUGUGGUAGAUAUAAAAUGUUCAAAUUGGAAAGCAGAAUUCUGGUGGAGAAUUCUGUGGUCACUUUGCAUGGAUGAAAAUGAUUUUAUCAUGUGCAGGAUGAUGAGGGAUAUGACUCCUCCUUUCUUCAAGGUGCAAAUUAGGGAUGAGUGACAUAAUGAAUAUAUGCAUACAGCUAGGAAAUUUUUCUCUCCCAUCCAUGUGUAUGGUUUAUGGAUUCUUAUUAUUAGUUGGUCUUUCCCUAAUUCUACAAAUUAUUUGUGAAUAGAUUAAUUAAUUAAUUAAUUUAAAUUAACAAUUGUGUGUGAUUCAUUAAACCUUUCUGAAGAAUGAUUGUAAGCCUUUGGAUUAGUGUUGGGCUGUUAUCGGUCACUGCAGAGAAGUGGUAUUAGUUCUAUUUUCAGCCUGAACAAUUGUGCAAGUAUAAUGUAAAACUUAGAGCUUCUAUUUCUGUAUUAAAAGGGGUUUGUGCACACAAAACAGCUUUUUAUUUUGAUACUACCAUAGGUUUAAUAAAAGGCUCUUCUUUCUGUUAACUGUGUUGACUUUCUACACAUUGACUGUGAUUAUUAUGAGAAUGUAUCAUACUCAAAAGUGCGUUCAUUUUCCACUUCUUCAUUUUGCCCAGGAAAAGAAUAUAAGAGUAGUUUCUGCAGCUAGAUGGCAUUCAAAAUGCCAUUUUGUUCAUGCUUAUUUUAAACGUUGUUCUUCCUGGGCCAAAUCGGCUAGACUUCAGUCUGUAAACAGCUCCUUUCAAGGUGUAUCUGCUUGCAUCUGUGCCAGUACUGGGCAGGAGGAUUUUGUGGUACUAGCUUCAGUAAUGUCAAUACUGGUGCCAAUAUUUUUAUCUGCAGUAAUGCCAACACUUUGGCCUUGUAUUUAUAAAGCAAAAACCAAAACCCAAAUCUUCCUCAUGGCAGAGAUGACAUCAGAAACUCUGUAGGAAUAUUUUGAGUGCCUUUUACUGAGUUUAUUGGUACAGUUUUUUAUUCUGUCACCAUUGUAGUACACAUACUGAGGACAUACAUAUAUUACCAUUAAUGAACAAAUACCUAAUAUGUGUAUUUGGGACUCCUAGACCCUGCAUAGUAAGUAAAGGCAUGUGUAAGACCCUGUAAUUGUGGGUAAACAGGGAAUCUGUCUGAAGAUGAGGGAAUAUUUCAGUUCUCCCUUUGUUUAAAUCAACCUUGUCUGCUUUAUUCUGUGUAUCUUGCUUUUCUAGACAACUGCACACACAAGGAAAAGUACAAGUUUGAAGGCAAAAAGGAAAAAAAAAACACCUCUAUUUGCUUUCACAUAAGGAAGAUGUUAAGUGCAUGCAUAGUUGAGAUAGGUUCCUAUCGUGACAGAAUAAAACUGGCAUUUCAGCUGGUGCCUUACCAUGGCAAUCUGCUUCAAAGAAACAACUGUCAUUUUUGAUAAGGAUAGUGAGAAUUACUGUCAUCUGGAGAGAUCGCUAUGCCUCUGGGUUGUAUAGUACAUUAUAACAGAAGGAUUUAUUCCUUAAAAGAGGAAUAAUCAUUCCACUUCCAGUACAGCAUUUUGUUGCUGUUUUAGUGAAGGUAUAGUUUUUGCUUUACAAGGCUCUAAUGUGGCACUUUAGCUAGCUGUUUUUCUAUAUAAAUUUGUAAUAUGCUUUUUUUUUUUCUCCUUUCUUUUCCUGUUUUCUGUAUUAUUUUUUUUUUCUUGUCUACAGUAAAACAGAAAAAAUAGUGAGCUAGUGGAAUCCUGCAUGUGGCAAGUGGAUUUAGGGUGUGCGCUUGCAUGCGUGCAUGCGUGCAUACGUGUGUGUGCGCACGCGCACAUCUUACCUCAGCCAAGACCCAAGGCAGAACUUCACAGAAGCUGUGAGUUAUUAUGGAGAGUUUCUCUGUGGUUGAGCCAGUAAGAGAUGGGUGCUAAACUUGUUUCCGCUUGAAGUUGCUCUUUGCAUACUUGUUAAGGCAGAAUGUUCUACCUUUUCACCUCUGCAGUACUGGGUGUGAAACAUGAGCCUCUAGGUGUUUCCUGGCUGGCAAGAAUUCAGUGGUAAUAAAAUUACUAGUAGAAUAAAUGUUUCAGAGGCAGUUAUCCUCUCUCACCUGUUUGUAAUUUUUUAUUAAUUAUUACAAAUAUGUUUAAGUACACUACCUGAUUUUAAUCUGCUGUAUUCCCAGGAUUUACAUAUAAAGGUAUUUUUCCCACAGAAUAAUGAAUAAUCACUUAUGUCAGGGUGUGGUGUUAAAAUACUGAAGGUUCGUGAUACACCUACUAGCAAUCGUUCAUUUUGUAAAAGGCUGGAUUCUGUAAGGAAUUUGCUUUUUAUGGCCCUGAUCCAAAAUUCUGUUGAAAUCAGACUACUAUUGAGUUUAAAAAGCUACAGAUCUGGUCCCAAAUGUUCUUUUAUGGGAGGUGUUUGUGGUGCCAUUGUUAACAGUACAUGCAGCAUUGGGCGUGUGAACUGUAUACGUAAAAAAAUUAUUUUUCCCAAAGCCCUUGCUCACUUUCAUGCGUUCUUUACUCAAGCAAAUAGCAGGUGGCUAGCAUGAAUAGUGGGGUUAAUGAGACUACUUAAGUGAGCAACCCUUUAUCAGAGCAAGAAUGAAAAAAACCACAAACCAGUCCUCAAUAUUAGAGAAUUUAGGACUUGUCAGAUAGCACUGCGAGCUAUAAAGAAUUAAUACUACUUUAUACUGAAAGAAAACCAGACUGGGAUAGUGGUGGCAGAGGGGAGGAGGGGUUGUUGUUUCAAGAGCAGCAGAGCUAAUGAGAUCUAAUGCUUUUGUUUCUUAAUCCCUGAGCUGAAUUAAUCUCUCUCCCUUCCCAUGUGACAUCACUCCUUAGAUUCAGGAGAGCCCCAGGGCAAGGUGCAUGCUACUUGGCCAGCCAAGUAGAGAAGUAAGCUGAAUGGUACUUUCUGUUAGUCGAGACAGUAACCUUGUUUCUGUUCUCCUUUCACUUUUAAGUCUCAUUAGUUAUAGAGGAACAUGUCUGUCUUCAGUAUUACAGGUUAGAUUGAGAUAGGACUAUUUGUUCUGAAAUUAUCUGGGAGAAGAGAAGGAAAAAUAAUCCUGGACUCCACUUGGAAAGAGGAAAUAUUAUCUUGCAGUUCUCCAUCAGAUCCCAAAUCAAUGUGUUCCUCAUGAGUUUUUCUACACUUUCAGAAUAAUUUACCUUAAGAAUAGAAAGCCUUAGUAAGAUAAUAAACUAAGAAUAAUUGUAUUAGGAAGUGGUUCAUACAGAUUAUUUUAGUGAUAUCUCAUUAUGUCAAUUAGCAUGUUACUUUGGCUACUGUCAAUCUGAGAGGAUGAAAAUGGAAUACUUUGUGUAGUUUUAUGGCUUGUUCUUCAUUUUACUUUCACCCUUCCAUUUUUACAUUACAGACUUGACAAAAAAACCCACAAACAACAGAAAUACCAAAGUACUGUAAGAGAUAUUUUACAUUAGAUAUAUGGUUUUGGUGAAGGAAAGAUUUUGCAACUAACCAAAGUCUCAACAAACUUUGAAAAGAUUGAUCCAGUGUUUGAUUAUUAUUUACACAGCUAGAAGAGAUUAGUGCCUGUUCUAAUGUAGUCCUUGUAGUAUUAUUCACUGGUGGAGAGAAUUUCUCUGUAUGUCAUUCUAUUGACGUUUUGAAUUUUGAAUGUUGGUGGAUUUCAAACUGCAGCUACACAGCUGGGCACUUGUGUUAUAUGGGCAAGUGUCAGGAAGGAUUUCACAUCAUAAUAGCAACCCAAGAAACACCUAUCACUCUUGUCUAGGAGACAAGAUUUAUAAAUAUUAGCAGUUGGUGUUUGAAAGAUAAGGAACUCACAAAGACUUAGCAACAAAGAAAUCCAACAGAAGAAUCUUCUCCUCACUUUCAAACUCAAAAAAUGAUUUCUCUGAAGCAAAAGUGACAUCAAAUGCUUUUUUUUUAGAUAAAAGAUGCUACAAAUAAGAAAGAUCCUCCAGGAGAGACUUUAAAGUGUCUUUCAAAAUUAGCAAGCACAAAAAGCCCAUAGGUCAAGAAUCAAGUCCUCUCCUGUAAUCCGUAUUCACUCAGCAUUUCAAACUUGGGUUCCUGGAACUGACCUUUGAAAAGUCAUUUCUUCACAAUAUGUGUGUUAUACCAUUGACACUAUUCAUCCCCCUCUAAACACCCGGAAUCAGCCGAAGUUCAAAGGAAUCAAACAAUGAACUGACCCCUUGAGGAAAAAAAAGUAACAGAGGAGUCAGGGCCAGACUGAGUGCUGGAAAAUGGGCAGUGAUAUACGAGGCAAACAGUAUUGUGUGGUCAGUGAUCUUGGCAAUUUUAAUGUUGAAAAUAAAUUGUAUUAUAGAAAUUAAAUUAAUAGAGUGUGUAUUAUAGAUAUAAAUGUAAACAUUCUCUUGCUAAUUUGUCUUGCAGAUUUAUAGAAAUUAAGUGAUAUAGGAAUUAGAAGAAAUUUCAUCCAUAACAGUGCUGCCCUCCAAUUUUGUGCUUGAAAUAAACAGUAAAAAUAACUUGUAAAAAAUACUGACUUUCAGAAGAGAACACAUAGCAAGGAUGAUUUCUGAAUUUUAUUUCUUGCAUCUUUGCAAUGUGAAUUAGUAUUUCUUCUUACUGAUACUUUUCUGAUGCACAACAAUAGAAGUCUCAAGUGAUAUGAGCCGGUGAAGACCUAUCACAGUUCUCUGAAAAUCUCACAGGCUUUCUAGUUUCAGUUAACAACGAUGACAGCUCUGAUCUUCCCUACAAUGCUAUACUUAAAUGUUUGGUAGCUGCUAACGUGAAAUUGAUGAAAUGCUAAUCAUUGAAAUUGUCAUACAUACAGGGCUUGAAAGUUUUGGGUCAGGAUGAAUAAAGAUGGCAAGGGAGUUGUGAUAAACUCUAAAAACAAAGAAAAAUUGUCAUGGGUGCAAUUUUAUUUUCUUUGCAACUGAAAACUUGUAGAAAUCAAAUUCGUAAGCAUACAAAGACCUGAAGGGCAGAAAUUAGGCUUUACUUCAAGGCUAUUAAGAUGCUGAAGAUAGAUAAUCCUGAGCUCCUUGCAGGACAUUGAGUCUUCAGAAGAAGGGCAAUCAGUCAAAAGCAGAGCAAUGUGUUGUUUGUGUGGCUCUUCAAACAGGCAUAAAAAUUACGAUUUAACUUAUGGACUUUUGAGAUACAGUAACUUGACAGGUUUCAGGAAUCUCACUCUACUACCAUUGCAGCCAUUAUUUGUACUGUAUUUAGAAGAUGUUUAUGACACCUUUGGACUUGUGGACUUGUGAACUUAUGGAGCUAGACAAAAGGAUCCCAUUUUAAAUUAGAUCCCAUUUAUGCCCAACCACCACAGUGGGGAUAACCUGCUAAUGUAAAAAUAGCAGGUAUCUCCUGCAUUCGCUACCCUCCACUUUCCUACAGAAGGACUUCAUUGAGGAUAACAGUGGUGUGUUAGGAUGGUGGAUAAUGCAACUUACGGUAUUCUAUGCAGGUUAGAGUUCUGAUGUAUUUCCACUCUACUGGCAGAGACUUUGGUAAGCAUCUGUGCAAAGAGCCAGAUAAAAACAGCUGGUUGGCUGCUCUCCAUCUUGUCUGAUGUGGGGUAGGUGGAUCCAAAGACAGGAGGCUUAUCUGUUCUUACAGUCAUACUCAUAAAAAGCAGACCUGGAGCUGCAAAAUAGAAUGUAACUUGAAAUAUUAAAAUAAGUGCUGUCUGCCAGAUAUGUCUUUCCCUAGUUAUACACUUGAUGUCCUUUACAAGAACACCUACAGACCCAGCCCGUGAAUAAAAAAAGUCCUGUUAGGCUUUCACAAAUAUCUUAUGCUUAGUAAUAUAUCUCAAUAAGGGUUUAAAGGAGUUUUUUUUUUUUUUUUUUUUUUUUCAGUGGUGUAAAUGGCAUUUUGGUGCCUAUACACCCCACUGAGUAAUGUAUCUGGAUGUCAAAGUAGUAAAUGUGUCAAAACAGGUAAAGUUGAACAGACAUCAAUAACUUUUAUGGACAUCAGGUAUCUUCAGAUACAGACUCUGCAUUACUGUAACCCCACGAAGUGUGAGUUAGGUGAUUUCACUCAAAUUGAUCUGUGAAAAAUAAUAAGGAAUCUAUAUAGUAAAAGAAAAUAACCAGAACUAAAAUUUUGGAUACAGAUUUACGUACAGAUUGAAGCUGCCACAUUCAGUGAAGUUGCUGAAGAUUCAUUUGGGUGUAAGUGGAAUCAGAGUCUGUCUCUAAGAGUGACUUAACAGUGACUCAACAUGCUGAAUUGUUGCUCCAAAUAGUAGCUAUCAAAGGCAUCUUGCCUUUGCGUAAAUGACUAAUAUAAUUAGCUUAUAACAUCACCAUAGGCAUUGGCAAAAGUAAUCAUCAUUACUAUCCAUUGUGUUCACAACAUCUGAACCAUUCAUUUGGAAGCCUGUGAAACAGAAAGUUCUAUCCAUCUCAGGAGAACUUUAUUUUCACCCUCACACAUUUUCUGCAGAGGCCUGUUUUCCAUGCCUCCCCAUCCUCCUGCUCAUUCUUAAACUGCUUAUAAAACGUAAUUAGCAUUGUUCCUUCUUUCUUCAUCUUCUUUUUUAAAGGACCAAGGCAGAGAUGGGAAAAAAAAUGUGUUUUUACAAUUAAAAAAAAAAAAAAUCUUUGUACACAAAACCUUGUCUUGCUUGGUUAGCUCAAUUAAACACAUGCAGAAAUAGGCUCACAAAGUAAGUCCUAUUUUGCAGUUAGUUUCAUUCAUACAAUUCUGAAGUUAUAUGUGUGUAACCAAGUGCACAAUUUAGUCCAUUGUAUGCUUAGAAAGAAGAAGAAAUACAGAGAGAAUUUAAUGUUUCACUUUUCUAACAAAGCGGGUGUUAUUCCACAACCAUGAAAAUAAGAACACGACUUGAAUUGGUUAUCAGCACUGUGAUACUAAGAUAACUAAUCUGACAUCAAAUGAUUCUCUCUCUCACACACACACAAAAAUAAAUAAAUAAAAUAAAAAAAAUAGUAUAAUGGCAGCACUAUUAUUUUGCUAUGCAAUACUCUUUUUAUAUGAGUACAUGUUUGUGGAAUUACAAUUAAAAUCUGUCUUUAUUUGAUAAUAUACUCUUUUCUUUAGUUAAGGAAGUCUUGCUGUCAAAAUUUGCCUCUUUUUUGAACAGGCUCAAAUGUGAUGUUUAGACAAAGAGGCUCCUGUUCCUAGGCCACUAAAAAGUGAAAGUCACAUCUGAUCUAAGACCAAAUCGCUCAGCAUCUUGAAGGAUUAGGCAUAGUCACAUUGUCUUGUUUCUGGUUUCAGUAACAUGCAGUGAAAUAACUCCAGUAAUAACUGAAAAAAAGUGUUUCUUCAAAUAUACAUGUUGGAAUUCAGGUCUGCCAACUCUACCAGGGUUGACAGUAGAACUACUGUCACUGACUUUCUGUGGUUAUCUUCUACCUACUACCUUGGGUGGUGAUCUUUCACUCUGCUUGUGUUCAGUUCAGGUUGUGGGCAGUACAGAAAACUAUCUACUGUCUUUGCAUAGAUCACACAAGGUAGAUCUGAUUGGACAAUUUAAUUGAGUAGUUUAUAGGUCAGUCUUUGUGUGUGGGUGUGUUUGGGAUAUUGUUGGGGUAGUUAUUAAUGCUCAGUGUUGUCUGAUAUAUUCUGUGUUAGACUUCCUGCAAGCAUGUAGGUAAACUGCACAUGUGAAUUUGGUCCUAGUUGUCUUCUCUCAGACCUGCUUUUCCAGAUUUGUGAAGUCCUAUCUGCUCUGAACUGUAUUUCCAACAGCAGGUCUGGCUCCCUUCCCUUCUAUUUCACCCUUUUUUGUGCCUUCCAGGAAAGGAAGAUUUGAUGGAUUUCUAUGACACAAGAAACUCCUCUCAGAUUUGCCCCUUUCCCUAGUAUUGAUUAAUUACCCACAGUAAACUCUUCAGAGUAAACUCUGCAUGUAUCUUCCUGUCUUUCAGUAGACUCAUCAGUUAGAAAGUAAGCUUUAUUUGUUUGAGGUCAGGAGAUGUCCUUCUUUACAUUAUUUAUAGUACAUGUGUUUUGAUUAGACAAACAACCACUGAGGUGAUGCUUCUUUUAUUAAUAAUGCAAACCGUACAAACUUGUUGUUUUGUUUAUAAUCUGAUAUAUUUUUUUAAAAGUCAAAUAAAAAAAAGACAAAAAAACAGUUUUGAAAAGUUUCUGAAAGUUCAGAAUAAUAAGUAAAUGGUAGAUAUCAAAUGGAAAGUUCAGGUCUACAGAGUCAUCAAGAAACUUCCACUCCCCUCUUCCCUUAAGCCCGUAUGCUCAAAAGCCUACACAGUAAGUACUUGGUGCUCCUAUAACACAAAUACUUAAAAUAAAGACUUUGCUUCUAGAUUUACACAAAAAUGUUCACAAUCCACAAUUUGAGUAAUUCUGAAAAUAACUCAACAGUCUUUAGAAACCCUACAAAACCUGUUUGUUUGUUUGUUUGUUUGUUUGUUUGUUUUUUUCAUAUAUGCAUAUAUCCAAUAGAAGCUUUUGGAUGCAGAACUUCCUAUACGCUUGUUUUGGCUUUCUAUCCACAUUUCCAUUAAUUCAUGAUCACUAUUUUAAAAUAUUGUUUUAUUCUUCAUCAUGCAGCCAAGCUCAUAUCUAUGAUCUGAUAGUGAUCAGCCAGCAGAACCAAGACUAAAGUAUUCCACCAGUUUCAGCCUUGCUUGGUGCUGAGAACUGUUGCAUCUGUUUUCUUGACUAGCGCAUCCUUCUGACAAACAAUUGAAUUUAAAGCAACCUGAGAUAAUGUUAUGGAGAUACUGGCAUGGCUCUCAGUUGAAGUCAGGAAGUGGCAGUUGAGAAGGAUAAACACAGAAGAGGUACAUUUUUAAUCUUGUUAUUCUUUUGCUGAAUUUUUGAAUGCAGAAUUUGAUCCUACAUGUAAAAUAGACUGUGCAAGUGCAACAUGGUAGCAUUUUUAAAAAAGUGGCCACCAAGAAGCAAAUUAAGGUAGAGGAAAACUGUUUGGAAGUGUUUGGUAAUGCUUCUCAGCAGGCAGGGCAUGCACAGUUUCUAUAUACAGUAGCCUAGCAUUUCCAAAGGGCAGAGAGAGAUGAAGGAUAAAGGAUAAUCUUUUGUAGCUUCAAGGCAUGUGAGCUUUAUGGAUGCUCAUUUGCAGUUGGGGUGCCCAAGCAAUGCUAUCUUUCAGUCAGUUUUUGCUUUACUGAGAGUUUUCUUUAAAGUGUCAUGACAGAAAAUUGACAAGGUUAGGAACAUACCUAUUAUGUGCUUCUUUUAAAAGAAAUAAAUUAAAAUGUCAUUUCAUAUCAAGAUUUUUGCAACACUGUUUAUGACUUUGUCAAAUAAUGCAGUGAUUUGAAACAUGCCCAAAACAUGUUUAAGAGCUGCACUGCUAUAGAUUAGUGCAUUUGUAACAUAUUUUAUUUGGAUUUAUCUCUGCUCAUAUGGAAUGAUGUAUUUUUCCCCAAGAACAAUACAGAUAAAGGCUGAAGAUUACAGUUUGUGUUAGAGUGGGUAAGAGCAGAUAAGGGUAUUUCUCUUUGUGGAAGAUGAAACAACUAGAAGAAGAGCUGAAGAACAACAAAGACGCUCUUUCACAGCAGGGGAUAUAUUUGAUGACCUACAGUAAAUAUUAUAAAUGCCUGAAAGUGCUUUUAUAUACAAGUACUGCUUUGUAGUAGGCACUUUGUAGUAUGUAUUUGCUAUUCUCUUCCAACACAAAUAAAUACCAGGCUAGAAGAGAGUUAUAUAAGUGCAAGAUUAGGAAGAUGAUGAAAAUGUAGCACUGUCAUUAGUUACCAUCAAAGGAAGCAGACACCAUUUGUAUUGCAAGGGGCCACAAACUCCUCAUUGAUUUAUUUGUUACACUUAUGUCUAGGAAUAACAUAAAGAUUGUAAUAGGUAGGUUGACUUGAGUGGAAAAUUUUAAUUACUGGGUAUAUGUUACUGUGGAAAAGAAAGCCACACAGCAAUGCUGUAUUUUACAGCCCUCCCAUUUAAAACACAAAUAGGAGCUCAAAAGUAAACCAUGAAGUAUGGAAUGAGCUUCCACAUCUGGGGUCAUACAGAAAGUUAAGAUUAGAACUGAUAAUUAAGGAUUCUAUCAUUAGUUUUGAAGUCUAUUGACCAUUUCUAGGGACCAGCUUGAAGAAAUUUAAACUUUGGCCUGAACAAGAAGUAAAACCAAUGGUAUCAUUUUGAAGCUCUUAGAGUGCAUCCAAGCAUCUUCCUCUGUGAUGUAGGAUAGGUUUACAGAUGAAAAAGAGCUUCUUAGUAGCUACAUCUUCAGGACACCCUAUGUCUCAGCUCUGUGACAAAACAAGCUUACCCCUGAAUUCACCACAGAGAUACUGUUCACUGGUGAGAUACUUCAAGCAAUCUAGAAAAAGGGAGUAGGGCAAGGUAUGUAAACAUCAAAGGGGAUGUUGAUUUAUCACAUUCAAGGAGCUCUUCCUUUCAACCAGUAUACCUUGAACCUGCAUAAGGAACUACAGAACUGUACGGAUCAGAGCCUUAAUAAAAAGUCACAAAGUGCUCAAAGAUGGGAUACUAUAUUUUUAAGAUUCCCAGUUGUAGCAGGAAACUCAUUAUCAGGGCUUCAAUCUGGUAGUUCUAGAUAGAUGUUGAAAUCCUGGCAAAUGAGCAUGACAGGGAUUUGAGUCAUUUCUAUUGGCAUGUUUAUUUUUAUAUGAAUCACCUAUGACCUUUUUUCCUGCUUCUCAGACAGUGGUGCUGUGCUCAUCAUAUCCAGAUGUGCUUCAAGUGAUAGGGAACAUUGUGUUCCCCGAAUCUCAGUGCCUUCUCCCCUUGAAUCCUGGGAGGAAGUCAGAGCUGAGCUUUCUUUCUAUCCCUUAGGACAAGUAGUGAGAACAUGACAGGGUGAAAGCGGGAGGAGGUGGGAAUAAGUGCCCAGUGCUUGGAGACUUUACAGUUGUGGUUCCUCUCCCCAAAAGUCAGCAACAACCCAUUCUGCCCCUCUGUCUUCUGAGGCAGUGGCAGUAUGUUACAUGUUGCUUUUAUAUUUCUCUCCCCAGAACAGGAGGUGAAUCAUCCCCCUGACAGCCUUUAUUGAUUAUAGCGCUGUGAACAAAUACAGCUGUGAACAAAUGGGGAAGCAGCCAAGGGAACUCUUCUCAGGUAGGGGAAUCAGAACCAAAAGCUCAGUAGGAGUUUUGGAUGCCUCCAUGGGACUCGUUGCUCCAGCAAGCAUGUCACUCUGGUGAAGGAACUUCAAAGAAGUCUAGAAGUAAUUGCCCAUGAACAUAACAGAGGUGCCACAAAUUAAUCUGCUGCUUAAUUUUGUCUUCUGAAAUUAGCAUCAGAGUGCAGAACAUAAUGUAGUAUUAGACCAGUAUGAAAGAUAUUUAAAAAUUUAGUAAAUCUUAAUUAUAGAUUUAACUCUCUCUUUUUCUCUCUUUUUCAAAUGAUUGGCUUGAAGUAUAAGAAUAAAUGUGACUUUUACUGGUAGUCUGAAAAAGCUUGCAGUUUGUUUUCUAAAUUUUAAUGAGAUCUAAAUGGGCAACAACCAAAAAAUUUCAUUUUAACAGUUUUUAAUUUCUGCUUUAAAAGUUGCAUUUCUUAUUGAACUUGAUCUGAUCAAUGUACGCAGCGUUUUUUGUCAGACUUAAAAAACAAUAUUUCAUUUAAAAUUGCCAAGAUUUUCACACAAAUAACUUGGAAAAAAAAAAUGUAUCUGGCCUUUCCUCAGAUUCAGGAAAGUUUUUCUCCAUUUUCUCACUUCUCUUUUUCUUCUUUUAUUCCUGUUCUUUUGAUGCAUUCUGACUCCAGCGCUCCAUGUAAAGGCUCAGAGCAUCUCAGAGAGCUGGAAGCAAACUGGGUCUGCUGCAGCACAGCACAGUGCACAGCCCUGCGACUGUUUCCUUCUCUACCCACCCGUUGUACACCACAGGCUCAUGGCCUUCUCCUGAAAAGCACUGAGACCCUGCCAGCUCCAGUCUGGGAGAUGGGUCUGCUUAGUACCUCUGAAUACUAACUAGGUUGUUUUUACCCAACAGUAAUAUGUGACAAAUUAAACAAUAUAAAUUUUAUCUUGAUCUUAAUUAAGGCAACAGCAAUAUUCCCAUUAACUUCAGUGGGACCAGGAUUCUAUCAAAUAUUAUUUAAACAUUUAUAAUAGCAUUAGAUAAUGGGUUUAGAAUAAUUAAGAGUCUAUUGAAGAAAUUUAGCUUGAUGGUGGAAAGGCAAAUUAUGUCAAAUGAACGGGAACUGUCGUUUGUGGAGGCCUAUUGAGAUUGUCUUGUUUAUUGAGAGAAGGAAACGAAGCUCAUAGGAAUAUUUCAGGGGCAGAGUCUGGAGGUCUUUCUGGGACGUAGAAGAAGGAGUGGGAAUAUUAAACAGAUGCGUGAGGUGGGAACAGUGUUUUUCACCAGCACACAAACUCAGCAGUCAGGAGUAUCCAAAAAUUAAAUUUCAAUUGGUGAAAUGAGGUAUUAGAUUCAGUGUAGGCUGUUUCAAUUAGGCCUGUGCAGAUACACAGAAUUAAUGGGUCAAAUAAGUAAUUAAUGGUGUUAAUAUAUCAAUCACUUUUCUAAUAAAAGAUUCUGAAAUGAGUCAAGGGAAAAAUCUAAUAAUUAAUUUGAAAACUGCUAUGAUGCUUCAAUUGAUUUGGGACUGGAAAAAAAAAAGGUAAUAAUUAGUAAGAAUCAAAAAACAGUAUCAGUUUUUGUUCUCCAAAUGGAGAAGAAAAUUAAACAGAGAUGUGAUUGAAAAAUCAUUUUUUAUCCUUGUAGGGCAAAUGGACAUGUCAACUAGACGACUAUUCUUUAUUAUACAAAUCUACACUUGCUCCAUCCUUUUUUUACAUUUAUUCAUGUGCACAAUCCUUCAGUUCUUAUUUCUGUGGAAAGUUGUGCUAGCUCUGUAAGGAAGCAAGUGACUUUUCCAGAUUUGUUCAUUAAUCCAGAACUUUAACAUUGUAAGCAACACCUUUCUCAGUGUACUGCUAUAUAACAGUGUGAUGCUGAAAUAAUAAAUGUCAUCCACUUUUUUUUUUCUUUCUUUCUUUUUUUUUUUUUUAAACAAAGCAUGUGUAUUUCAACACAAAAUGAAGAUAUAAAUCAAAUUUUUCUGCUAGACUGCUUACUGGACAGUAAAUGAAAAAGAAGGGGCCUUGCAUGAAAGAGUCUAUUACUCAUAAACAUAGCUUGAGUGGUUCUUUAAUUUUUGAUGGAAAUUGUUGAAAUUUGUGUGUUCAUUUUUCAAAUAAAAUGCACUUAAGGAAUACAUUGGUGGAGACGCAAGAAAUGUAAAUUUGUAAGGUACAAAUUACAGUAUUUUCAUUUAGAAACCCUUUGAUGGACUGCAGUGCUUUUGGACUUCACUUGAUCAUCCUCUGCCUUAUUGUACAAAGGUGCAGUGCCUUUGUCAUGAAAUACAGUUCACCACCAUCAUUUAACCUUCUUGUUCCUGCCUUUUCCCUCUCACAGUCAAUAUGCAGAUCAGCAAACUAGUAAGAAACAGUCAAAACCCUUUUCAAUAAAAAUCAAGAUUCAGUCACCUCUUCCUUCCAAAAAGUUGUUAUUUUUAUAUAAAAAUAGGGGCAAAUAAAAGUACCCCAAAACAAUUAACAUAACUUGGCUUGCUUCAGCUGAUAUCAUAAAGACAUUAAUGAAAGGAAAUUGUUGAAAAUACUUAGGGUAAAAGUAAAUUUAAAUCAAAUAUGAGCAAAAUAAAUGUUUUUUAAAUAUGAUUCUUAGAUCGAAUGGGACUAACUCCAUUACAAAGGCAGUUCCAAAAGUAAUGCCUCUAUAUUGUUAUGUUGACCCGUGACAUCAGAGACAGAUGUUGGUGGUACGGCAAUAGAGGUUGAACCAUCCUGCCAAUAUUCUGUAACAUUUUGUUGCUAUGCAACAGAUGGCAGCAGAGGGGCAAUAUGACAAAAAAGCAUCUGACCUGGGAGUGCAUAUGAAGAAAAAGUGCGUCACUGGACUGGAAAAAGAUGGCACCUACUGAUAUUCAUCAACGCUUAUUGAACAUUUCUGGAGACCAACAGUGGAUGUGAGGACAGUGGGAUGGUGAGUGGUACGUUUCAGCAGUGGCAACAGGAACAUGAAAGACAAGCCACGGUCUGAAUAGCCAUGCACAGCUGUCACACCAUGAAAUGACGAAUAUUACCAUCAGCUCAUCCAUGUAAAUUGGUGGAUUAUGACGAGGGAACUGUUUACUGUGCUGAAUAUCCUCUUCAAUGCGUUGGAAACAAUGGUGGUGACGUUGAAAUAUAGGAAAGUUUGUGCCAGGUGAGUCUUCACAAAUGCUCACAAAGGAACAGAAAGAACAACAUAAACAAGUUUGUCAGGAACUAUUGAGUCAAUACGAAACUGAAAGUGAUUGUUACCUUGAUUACAUCAUUAGUGGUGAUGAGUUGUGGUGUCACUACUAAGAGCCAGAGUCAAAACAGCAGUCCAUGGAGUGGCAAAAUAUGCAUUUCCCAUUGAACAAAAAAUUCAAGAUGCAACCC